rnacentral:rRNA from 1 species
AAUGAACGCUGGCGGCGUGGUUAACACAUGCAAGUCGAACGGGCUUUCGUGAAGGGCAACCGGAUCGAAAGCCAGUGGCGAACGGGUGCGUAACACGUGAACAAUUUACCUGCGAGUGGGGAAUAGCCCGCCGAAAGGCGAACUAAUACCGCAUGUGGUUGAUGACCGCAUGGUUGUCAUACUAAAGCCGGGGACCGCAAGGGCCGGUGCUCACAGAGGAGUUCGCGGGCUAUCACCUACUUGGGGAGGGAACGGCUCACCAAUGCUAAGACGGGUAACCUGCCUGAGAAGAUGAUCGGCCACACUGGAACUGAGAAACGGGGCAUACACCUACGGGGGGUAGCAAUUUCCAAAUAUUCACCAUGGGCGCAAACCUGAUAGGGCCCAUCCCCGUGGGGGAACAAAAGUCUUCCGAAUGCGAACCCCCGCCCCCGCGGAACAAACACUUCGGAGCUUCCAUUUUCCAUCCCCGCCUUACCCCCCGUAAGGGAAACCGUGGCGGACCCCUUCUUUUCCCCCUCCCCCCCGCAGUUACGGAAGGGGUGCCCACCCUUGGUUCCGGAACUAAAGCGGGCGCACAAGGCCGCACUUUGUGGCGCGUCGGCAAAUCCACAGUUGACAUAUCUCGGCGUUACACGGGGGACCGCCUUCUCCUACCCGCCGUGUUUUUCCCCCCGUGCGGGUAUCCCGCAUCUUCCCGCGUGGUAGACGAGACACAUUACAUCUACUGGAGGAAACCCCGUGGGCGACAGUGUGCGUUCUUGCCGACCAUUGGCCUCCGCUAGCCCGUAACAAGUCGGGUCAAUCAGACUCUGUAUAUCCCCCUUGCCACCUUUGAAUGGGAGUAAUCACGCGUGGG